UUCAUCCUCAUCUGUUCCCCUCUCAUUCUCUCAUCUUUUCUGCUCUCCCAUCUCAUAAGAAGAAAUGACAGAGAGUGCAGCUUUCAGCCAAUUCAGACGUGGAUCUUUUUUGAUGGAGUCCAUCUUCCAAAGCAAGAAGGAAGAUAAAUUGGCAGAGCGAGAGGAGAGAGAGACACAGUCGACAGUCCUGCUCUGCAUCAGUCUUUACCUGGAGUGAAGUUGCUCUGUCCACAUUCACCCAUUACUGCCGGUUUUGGACACAGAAGUCCAAACUCCUUGUUAGGAGGCUGAACCUCACGAGCCCACAACUCGCCAAACGACCGACAGCAAUUAGUAAAGGCGCACGGGAACCGGCGGAUGGGACAUCGGGCCAUUACAAUGCGAGGGCCGGCUUGGGCCUGCUCGUGGCCUUAUAACACAGACAAUGUUUGUUAACCUUAAAGGUCAAACCUGCUUCACUUCAGCCAGCAGACGAGAUGCUUUAUGUAACUCAAAUCAACAAUACAGACUGAGAUUUUCAGCAGCACGUACAAGAAGUUGUGGUGCAUAGAUGGGGCAGAAGGAGAAGGUGGUUAGCAUUGGGGGAGUGACGCUUUAGCAGUAUACUCGCAGAAAUGAGAAAGAGCAUAUAAUAUGUAAGGGAUAAUGUACAGCCAACUGGUUGUUAUUGCAGAAUAAAUCCCAACAGGGUGAUCAGGAGCCCGACGACAUGGAUAACAACCGGCUGGAUGUACAUUAUCCCGCUUAUUACAUGGCUACUUGCAAGGAGAGUAAAAAGAAAUGGACAAAAUAUUAAUUGGAUAUAUUUUAUUAGCUCAUUUGGAAGAAAUGCAAACCUUCCUCAAGGAAUACAUGUUUUCUAGUGGCUUUAAGCCGAAAACAAACAAAGACAUACAAGGCAAACAUGCAAUUUGGUUAAAUCAUUUGCUAAUAUAUAAUUUUAUAUAUGUUAUUACGUAGACAUAUUUUUAUUGAAUUUAUUUGUGUCAGCAUGUGUCUUGUUCUUACUCAAACUAAAACUAUUAAA